rnacentral:rRNA from 1 species
GGACGAACGCUGGCGGCGUGCCUACUACAUGCAAGUUGAGCGCUGAAGGUUGGUACUUGUACCAACUGGAUGAGCAGCGAACGGGUGAGUAACGCGUGGGGAAUCUGCCUUUGAGCGGGGGACAACAUUUGGAAACGAAUGCUAAUACCGCAUAAAAACUUUAAACACAAGUUUUAAGUUUGAAAGAUGCAAUUGCAUCACUCAAAGAUGAUCCCGCGUUGUAUUAGCUAGUUGGUGAGGUAAAGGCUCACCAAGGCGAUGAUACAUAGCCGACCUGAGAGGGUGAUCGGCCACAUUGGGACUGAGACACGGCCCAAACCCCUACGGGAGGCAGCAGUAGGGAAUCUUCGGCAAUGGACGAAAGUCUGACCGAGCAACGCCGCGUGAGGGAAGAAGGUUUUCGGAUCGUAAAACUCUGUUGGUAGAGAAGAACGUUGGUGAGAGUGGAAAGCUCAUCAAGUGACGGUAACUACCCAGAAAGGGACGGCUAACUACGUG